GACGAACGCUGGCGGCGUGCUUAACACAUGCAAGUCGAACGGUGAAGCUCCAGCUUUCUGGAGUGGAUCAGUGGCGAACGGGUGAGUAACACGUGAGCAACCUGCCCCUGACUCUGGAAUAAGCGCUGGAAACGGCGUCUAAUACUGGAUACGAGAAGGGUCCGCAUGGGCACUUUCUGGAAAGUUUUUCGGUUGGGGAUGGGCUCGCGGCCUAUCAGCUUGUUGGUGAGGUAAUGGCUCACCAAGGCGACGACGGGUAGCCGGCCUGAGAGGGCGACCGGCCACACUGGGACUGAGACACGGCCCAGACUCCUACGGGAGGCAGCAGUGGGGAAUAUUGCACAAUGGGCGAAAGCCUGAUGCAGCGACGCCGCGUGAGGGAUGACGGCCUUCGGGUUGUAAACCUCUUUCAGCAGGGAAGAAGCGAAAGUGACGGUACCUGCAGAAGAAGCACCGGCUAACUACGUG
rnacentral:rRNA from 1 species